rnacentral:rRNA from 1 species
GUUUCAGCAGCCGCGGUAAUACGAAGGGUGCAAGCGUUACUCGGAAUUACUGGGCGUAAAGCGUGCGUAGGUGGUUCGUUAAGUCUGAUGUGAAAGCCCUGGGCUCAACCUGGGAAUGGCAUUGGAAACUGGCGAUCUAGAGUGCGGUAGAGGGUAGUGGAAUUCCCGGUGUAGCAGUGAAAUGCGUAGAGAUCGGGAGGAACAUCUGUGGCGAAGGCGACUGCCUGGACCAGCACUGACACUGAGGCACGAAAGCGUGGGGAGCAAACAGGAUUAGAAACCCUGGUAGUCC